CUAACACCUAGAAAUGUAGAUGAAAGUGAUGAUAUAACUGGAACAGUAGUGAUUGACUGAAAACAGAAGAAGAAAGAAGAAAUUUCGACUUUGCUUAGGACACACUAUCAGGCUUUGCUGACAGCUCCCUUAUCUUCGUAUUUCCGACAAAAUUCGAUGAUUCUAGGCCCACUAUUAUUAUAGGGAAAUCGAGGCCCACUGUUCUGUUAAGGAAACCCGAUUUCCAUGAAAUUGAUUUACUUUAUGAAAAGGACCCUAAAAAUAUAACCACCCCCCCCCCAAAAAAAAAAUGAUGCACGUCACAACCCUUCAGAACGAAAACACAGAACAAAGUCGCCCCAAAAUAAAAUUAGUAAGAUUGGCCUCUGAAAGAGAAGAGGGCUUUAACCUCGAUUUUAAAAGGAGUGCAACUUUUGAUCCCUGAAAUCGAUGAUCGAUGGCGAUGGUCAAUUGGAGGGGCAGAAGUGAUCAGCCACUUAAACAGCCUCACUGGAGUUUCCGCAGCCAUUUGGAGGGUUGUCUGGAGCAACAGUGUGUUUUAAUACAAGGAUUGCUGAGGGUUAUAUGCCAACCAAGCAAUGUCAUGGCCGUUGCAAGUCAAUCAAAAACACCUUGACAGAUAAUUGUGUCAUGGCGGAUUUUUAAAAUUUUAUUCAUGUUCGCUUGCUUCAAUUUAAAGUGGAGCUUACUAAAGUGGUCAACAAUUUUAUGAUCUGUAUUCCAUAAAAUACGACCGAGAGACUGAAAUUGAUACAAUUUUAUUGGUAACAUUUAUGACAGGGCCCUAUAGAUAAGUAUUGAGGCUAAGCGUAGCAAAAUGUAACAUAAUUUUCACAGUGGAUUGAAAUGUUAACAUGUCUUUACAAACACGCAUCCGUAGUCGUUAUGGUCUAUUUAUCAGCUAUUGUUACAUUUCUUCUGACAAUAAAAGCUGACCCACACCAUAUGGGGACAUGAAUGCAGGAGAAAAUAGCUUUUAGGGUAACAAUCACAGUAUAUAGUUUCGUCAUAAGAAUUCUCUUCAGUAAAGAUAACUCUGCUAAUGCAAAAUUCAAAUUCUUAUAACGAAAGUCGAGGGCCCUUGCUAAAAAGUGCACUUUCAUUGGUCUUGAUGCAAAUUCAAGUGCUUAUGACGAAAUUAGAUCGCCCACAUAACUAAACACGUGCAUUUGUCUUAAUGUAUCUUCCAAGGUGCUCAACAAUUGUGCGCUGUUUUUCAUUUCAGGCUGUUGUCUCCUGCAUCAAUGUUGCUAAUACUUCUUUUAAGUAGAUAGCUUUGUUAAUUCAUAUUCAAAUUUUUAUGGCAAAACAAGAUAGCCAACACCGGUAUGUACAGAAAGUUCAACCAGAAGCGUUUACAGCGUAGAAUAAGAGUAAAACGAACCCAAAAAAACCAGAGAGCUUCAUGUUGGUCUAUGAUUUCGUUCAUUCAUCGAAUAAUCUGUGCUCAAGGGGGUCUUCGGUGAAUUAUGCCAAAUUGCGUAAUUUCAGUUAAAGUAAAAGACUUUUUUCAGUCAAAACCUUUAUUGAACAGCCACACCUCGAAUCACUUGAUUCUUUCAAAUGGAGAAAAGUAUGCGCAUAUAAUCAAUCAGAAGGCAUGCGCUUCACCUGCAUUUCAAAGCGAACUGAUUAUUUAAUUGAGUUGAGGUGAAGGCAAGAACUCUUCGUUUUUUUUGGAAAAGUAUUGUUGAAUCAGUUAUAAUUCGGAUGAUCAGGCUAAAGAAUAGUGGUGGGCACCUGAAAGUGGGCGGGAGCGGUCACCCCCAAUACUUUAGAGGACAAUGGUCUCUUGUUCUAAAACAAUGGGGAAACGUGACGUCAUCUUACUAAAACAAUAACCUUGCCCCUAAUAUUUGACCAAGUGUACGCCCCUGCUAAAGAAGGUACUCAAAAGACCGUUUGUAGCACGAGAUUGUAGCACAAAAAAUAGAAUUGCUUGUUGGGCAUUGCGUUGCAAACUAAUUACUCGUUACAUUUUCUGUCCCCCACCCCUUCCUAUAACUAUUGAGUUCAUUUGUUGAAAAAAACCCAAACAAUCAAACCUGUGGCUUGAACUAUUUUUGGUCACAGAAAUUCCUUCAAGUGGAUUGUUUUAAAGAAAGGGUAAUAAUAUGUAUUUUAAAGGUUUUUAUUAGCUUGUUCAAUACGGGCUCUUUUCUGAAUUAGCAACACAAAAGAUUCGCUACCAGUCCGCCUCUGAUGAAGAAAACAAAGUUUAUCAACAAUUAUUAUUUACAAGCAUCUUAAAUCUUUGAGAGAUAGAUAAUCCUUGUAAGGGCAAACUAUUGCUACACUGGUCUAGAUUCACAUUUUAGCAAAUUCAUCGGCUGUUUCAAAAAAUAACAACUUCCAUUUUACUCACGUUUGCGCUGAUGACAUCAAAGUAUUUCGCUGUUUUGGGUGGUGGUACGUUCUUGACAUAAUUCAACAAAUUUAUACUUCUUGCUCCCCUGUCGUUCGUUUGAUGUUUGCUGAAAGUAUCGGUAGGCCCAUGUGCAUAGAUCACCUUGGAUGUUCCAAGCUAAAACAAACAAUCACUAUACAAAAAAACUUUACAGGAAAAAAAAUUGAUUAGAAAUUGACCUGAAAAUUUUCUUUUCCAUGUCGUCAAAGCUAAAUAAUGCACUUUCUAUUUAUUCGGGACAUUUUUGUUCACUCCAACGACAAAUGAUCAUAGUGUCUCCAUGUCUCCUUAAAUCAAGAAAACAUUUGAAAUCACACGAAGAAAUCCCUUAAAAACCCUACAGGAAUCAGCAGUGAAUAUCUAUCAGUCCAUAUCUAUUGCAAGUUAUUCUCUUGAAUGCUACAUAGAAGACUUGAAAAAGCUGAGACAUCGUUAAGUGUUUUGGCUACAAUUUCUACGAAAAAAAGAGCCAUACACCAGAAAAAAUUACAAACUUACAGGAAUAUCUCUGUCCUCUUUGUCACAAGUAACUAACUUGCGUUUGAAUUUCAAGACAGUGACACCAUUGGUUUCAGAUGAACCAACAUAAUCAUAAUUUUGCUUCUUGUCUUCGAUAGGCCAGCCAUUUCCAUAACUUGGUCCAUGAUAGUCCUGUGAAAAGCAAAAGAAAUUUGUUAGACACAUUAUCAUUAUUUUACUCUAUGAUUUCCAUUGCCUGCUGCUAAGACAAGAUAUUCCUUAAAAAUCAUGACUGCCAUCAACAAGAACAUCUUGAAAGAAUAGACUUCUGUCGACAAACUUCGCUUAGAUCCUAUUUUCAGUUUAAUUUUCUAUGUUUGUUUAUUUGUGAUAUCUUGUUUAUGAAAAAUCACGCUUUAAGAUUGUGACGGUUUAUUCAUAAGGGGGGCUUAGCGUAAAGAAUUAAGAGAUUGACCACAAUCAAUCCUCUUUUUAUUCAGCUUUAAACCCGCCCCCACACACACACACACACAAGUUCUCCGGAACAAAACAACUACUGCUUUUACUGUUUGUCAUAACUACCCUAGACUUUUCCAAAGCCCAUUUUUUCUUAAAUCCAUAAGGAAUUCGUCCUAAUGCGAGGGCAUAUCUCAACUGCGAAGGUUUAGAUAUGCCCUCACAGAUUCUACAAUGAUCCGUCCACUGUAUGGUAAAGAAAAAACGCAAGCUUAUUCAUUUGCUGACUUUAAAAGACAAGUUCUUUAACUUACGAGUCAAGAAAGACAAUUAAGUACAUUAAGUCCUAUCAAAAUCAUAAUUUAUUGCUAAAUUUUGGUCUAUUAUAUUGUAUUGAUUGGUAAUGGAUUGCUUUUCGUCGUGUGUGCUGUUCCUACCUAUCAUUCAUACUUGUGGACUUGCUACAGGUCUCUCUCUAUCCAUUUAAUAAUCUGAAAAUAUAGAAAAGGAAAAAAAGAAAAAUGGAAGGGAAGGAGAGAGACUUGUAGCAAGUCCAUCAUACUCGUAGCUCUAGCUCUUGAUUUCCUCAGUAAGAUUCCACGUUUAUCUUAUCUGUAUUGGCGUGGUAAUGCUCUUUGUUUAGUUUUUCCUUCGCAGAGGAUAAGCAGGAACUUCUCCGGAUUUGACCCCCAUUUUACCCCCAAAAAACAGCGUAAAACCCGGUUACCAUCACAAUUCAAUAUCCCAAAUUGAUAAAGAACUCGAAACUGGGAAUCAAAAUUUCCAGUUUCGUCUGGUCUACGACUGAUGAGCCAAUUUGGAAGUACUCGUUUCCACAGACGUUCGUACAUGUUCCAACAGAAGAUCUUUUGACAGCUGGUACCUUUUAUACUUUCUUUUAAACCCUAGUUAUUCUUCAGCGGACAAGGUCUAAACAAAGAAGGUAGAUCCAGCCAUAAUAUCCAACUGUAAUCCUAAAUGGCUUUUGGUGCAUUCCUGGUCGAUUGUCUACAGUGAAUUUACCAGUUUCAGUAAUGAUGGUUGAAGUGACAGAUCCAGCAAAGAUUCGUCUGUCAGUGCAAGGACAGCCGAUGGGUGUUGGCGGUCUCUCUUUCUAACAAAGUCAUUCUUCGGAAUGAGGCUUUUAACUACCUUACUCACUUCAGGCGUGGAUCGAUUUCGAAGAUUUCGCAGAAUUGACAGGUUACCUCUUUCAUUACCAAGCUUGAGAAACCAGUUGAAAAAGCUAGCUUUCAGACUCUUGCCUACAUGGGGGCAAUCAGGAAUCACGGACAAUAGUGACAAGUCAGGUUCGAUGUUUUUCUUGCUCCGUGCAGACUGAAUCUUUUCAAAUGCAUUCUUGUUGCCUUCUUCACAAUCAGCUGUUACACCUAACAAAACUCUUCUUCUGCAAAGUCUGUUUCUGUUACUAUAUUUUCCCGUAUGAAUUUUGGCGUUACAUAAAACACAAGGAAAGACAUGAACUACCUCUGAUCCAACAAGAUUUUUGAUUGGUGCAUCACUCCUAUCACAUAGCUUCAAAGGGGCCAAGCUUAGAGGCUUUAUAACUCCAGACUUUAUCGUGUAGCCAGCUUGAUGUUUGUUGCAUACAGUUUCUGAUGGUCCACCAAAGUUCAUUUCGCAUGUUUCCUUUGACUGUUUGGAUCCUCUCUUUCCUUCUCCAUUGUCCACAGGUCCUCGAAUGAAGUUGACAGUUCGCCUUCCUCCAAGUUGUCUAAUGCUGUUGAAAAAUUCUGUCUCAUCCUUGCCGUAUUGGUGCCUAGGAUCAUAAAAAAUUCAACGACUUCAGUGAGGAACUUGUAGAGAAUUCCUGUUUUCGGGAUUAAACCACUUCGUAGAAGGCUAUCAAACUUGUAGCACAACGGAUCUGCCUUUUCAACCUUGUACGCUAUCCACCUGGCGUCGUCAUCAUAUUCAUCGGAAUUCCCUUCUGAAUGACAUGAUACAGGCUCUUCACUAUCGCUAUCAAAGUCUGACAGUGCAACGUCACUGAGGCUGUCCAAAUCGAUGUCUGAACCAGAAUAAUCCUCCUUAUCUGAGCUCCUGGUAACAAACAAUACGCAACAAACACAUCGAGUGAAUUUUAG